rnacentral:rRNA from 1 species
GUGUCAGCCGCCGCGGUAAUACGUAUGGGGCGAGCGUUGUUCGGAGUUAUUGGGCGUAAAGGGCGUGUAGGCGGCCCGAGAAGUCUGGUGUGAAAUCGCAGGGCUCAACCCUGCGGGUGCGCUGGAAACUGACGGGCUCGAGUCCCGGGGGGGAAGCUGGAAUUCCUGGUGUAGGAGUGAAAUCUGUAGAGAUCAGGAAGAACACCGGUGGCGAAGGCGAGCUUCUAUUCGAGGACUGACGCUGAGGCGCGAAAGCGUGGGGAGCAAACAGGAUUAGAAACCCGAGUAGUCC